GGAAAAAACUGACAAUCUGGUCCAUUCUCAUUGUCAUUCUCGGUAUCUGCUCCAGAAAUACUCACCAUUAGAGUUACAUCAGAGUUGGUGUGGGAAACAGAACAGCAGGAGAAAACACCUGAAGAAGAAAACAUCAACUUACUGUAACUAACCAAGGUCAAAGGUGGUGGGCAAGGUGUGUGGCUACACUCUUAUUAAUUACGAUGAAAGGCUAUGCUGUUUGUGGCCGUUAUCGACAAGGAGACAUUUGAGGGGUUUCCCCCAUCUCUUUAUUACAAUUAUUAGGGAUGAUGACAUCAUCGUUGUAAUAUCUGUACAGACACCAGGUGCUUCAGAUCACUUGGAAGGAUGAGCUCCAGCACUCUCUCCUGAAGGACCUGGCUGAGAUUAAAGAUCUCCAGCUGGAUGUGUGUGGAUGGAUCCCACUGACCUCUCUACUCCUGUGGACAUCAGAGUUCCCGUCACCAGCCUGCAGACCUACAAGACCUUCCUGAGGACCGAGGACAUCUCUUACUCUGUCACAAUAAAGAUGGACAACUUUCUGAGCUGGGGAGGAAAGAGAGCUCAUCUGCCUUUCUUACGCCAGUCUUUAGUCAUUGUUAUUCUUCAAAAAGUAAUAACUGUACAGACUAUGACACCACCAAAGUUAUCCCCCUGACAAUCUAAUUAUUCUUGAAAGAACCAAGGAGAGCGAUCAGUGAUAUGAAACCUUUUGCCCCUUUUAUCUUAGGUUAUGUUGGAUGAGGAGUGGAGCAGAUGCUGAGUGCUCAUGCCGCUGAGCCCAGAAUACUGAUUACUACACCAAAUACCAUGUCAGUACCCAAUAACACUGCCGGGAAAGCCUCAGCAUCUAUUAUAACAUUGUCAUAAGAUUGCAAAAUAAAACUGUCAUAGGACUGCAUAAUAACUUUGCAGAAACUAUCUCUCUUGCACUGACUCUAUGCACAUACACUGGACUCUACCCACACACACAUACUUACAUUGACACCCCAACACACACACACUUUCACACUCACCGCUUAUGCUGCUGCAACUAUUAUCUAUCCUGUUGCCUAGUCACUUUACCUGUACUUAUAUGUACAGUACAUAGCUACCUCAAUGACCUCGUACCCCUGCACAUCGACUCGAUACUGGUACUCCCUGUAUAUAGCCAUCUUAUUUUCUAUUCCCUGUAUAUAGCCAUGUUAUUUUUAUUUGUUAUUCACUGUGUAUUUACUCCUAGUGCCACUAUUUCUAUUUUUCAUGAUUUAUUUUAUCUUUAACUCUGCAUAGUUGGAAAAUGACCAGUAAAUAAGCAUUUCACUGUUAGUCUACACAUGUUGUCUACGAAGCAUGUGACAAACAGCAUUUAAUUUAAUUUGAUAACUCUGUCAUAAGACUGCAUAAUAACUCUGUCAUAACAAUGUUAUUAUGCCUGUGUUAAAACUCCAGUCUUUGAUUCUAAUGUGAGAUUCUCUUACGAGCUGUAUCGCAAUAGAUCUACAGUUUCCAGGACAUGAUGGCUAAGAACCCCAACCUGGUGAGCAAGAUCGUGAUUGGCCAGAGCUUUGAGGGCCGCCCUAUGAAUGUACUCUAAGUCAUGUCAGUUCUAAAAUACUUUUUUUGGGUGUUUGAAGAUCACCAGGAUUUUAUUUGCAUCUGUAUUAAUGUAAAUACUCCACUUCUGUCUCUCAUAGUUCAGCACUGAAGGUACCAACCGUCCUGGCAUAUUGAUCAUAACUGGAAUCCACUCCAGAGAAUGGGUCACUCAGGUUAGCAGCACCUGGUUCACCAAGAGGUGAUUAACUUCUAGUCUCUUUCCUACCAGUCAGAGCCCCUGUUUUGAAUUUCUCCACAUGCU